rnacentral:misc_RNA from 1 species
UGGAUGGCACUGUGUUGACCCUCUAUAGAACAGCUUGUGUAUCUGGCUUGGCAUCAAAAAUCUUAGCUAGGGAUGAUAGCAAAGUGCUGGUGAUGGUUGGUGCAGGUGCUUUGGCACCCCAUUUGAUCAAGGCCCAUCUCGCUGCAAAACCCAGUUUGGCGAAAGUGAUAAUUUGGAACAGGACGAUGAAGAAAGCAGCUGAUUUGGUGGAGGAACUUAGGGUAGAAUGCCCUGAAAAGGUGUGUUUUGAGAGUAAUGAUAAUUUGGAGGAAAUAAUUGGAUUGGGUGAUAUUGUGAGUUGCGCUACAAAUGCUGAUAGGCCUUUGGUGAAGGGCGAGAAACUGAAGCCAGGAGCCCAUUUGGAUCUGGUAGGAUCUUUCAAGGAGACAAUGAGGGAAUGUGAUGAUGAGGCAAUAAGGAGAGGGAGAGUGUUUGUGGAUAACGAGGCAGCAUUGGUGGAGGCAGGGGAGAUCGUCGGAGCUCUUGAGAGAGGAGUGAUUGAUAAAAAAGAUGUUGGCUAUUUGGUGGAAUUGAUCAAAGGGGAUGAAGCUGGAAGGAGGG